UACGGGGGGGGCAAGCGUUGUUCGGAAUUACUGGGCGUAAAGGGCUCGUAGGCGGCCAACUAAGUCCGACGUGAAAUCCCCAGGCUUAACCUGGGAACUGCGUCGGAUACUGGAUGGCUUGAAUUCGGGAGAGGGAUGCAGAAUUCCAGGUGUAGCGGUGAAAUGCGUAGAUAUCUGGAGGAAUACCGGUGGCGAAGGCGGCAUCCUGGACCGACAUUGACGCUGAGGAGCGAAAGCCAGGGGAGCAAACGGG
rnacentral:rRNA from 1 species